rnacentral:lncRNA from 1 species
AAAGAAACCUGGUUGUGUGAAAGAAUAUAACAAAGAAAUAUUCUGUGUACUGGAGUUGGACAAAAGCUCAGGAAGACUUUCCUGUAGAAUUGAUUAAGCUGAGACCCAAAAGAGAAGCAGAAAAGAUAACUGGAAUGAAAGUUGGGGGUUUGGAAAAAGAAUAGUGUGUCUGACAUGAUUCUGAACAGUUAGAAAAGGCCAAAUUAUGUAGAUCCUUGCAAUAAAGCUACUUAAUGAUUUUGAGUGGUGAUGCUAGAGGUGUAGUAGGGUGGUACACAUGUGAAGCAUAAUUAAAUUUUAUUUAAAUUGGUAAUCUGAUUACAGAAUUGAGAAGUCAAAUGAACGGAAGAGACUUACAUGAUUAAAACAAAACAGUGACCUCUCCGAGUUGAGUUGAAGACAGGGGAGUGCUGGAGCCCACACAUGUACUUGGACGACCAGACUGUGUGCAUCUCUUCCUGAUGCUGCAUUCAGUGACAUCACAUUGGUAGUUUGAAAUCAACCAUAAUGGAGGUCUGUUACAUUGAGAAGUAUCCUGCAUUUAUAAAUGGACUAAGAGAUGAGUAUACUGGCUUUGUGUCCAGGAUGUGUGGUCUUCCUAUUUAAAGAUUAUGGUGCUUCAAGGACUCCAGAACAGUGUCCAGCCAGCAGAAGCAGGACAGAAUGGCGAGGCCAGAACCGAGCAGUCUGCAGUCAGUUUGUCAAGCCAUGGAACUCUCUUGUAGCUAGGAUCACAAAGGCCCACGGUAAGAAUGUGAGUCCCCAGCGUCCUCCACUUAUUUAUUCUCUGGGUGCAGGUCCAGUGCCCACUACUGGUGAUCCCAGGCUAGGAGCCCCAUUUUUUCCUUCUUUAUCCUCAGUGUCUCCCAUCACCUCUCUGUUGAAUCCCAGUUUUCUCUCUCAGAAAAUCUAUUUGAAGUGUGAAUAUUUAUUCAAUAUUUUGGUUAUUCUCCAUGGAAGAGGCAUACCCU